rnacentral:lncRNA from 1 species
GGACUUCCAUUGCUGUUGCUGUUGUCCCUAGACAAGCCCGUUAGCAAGAAGCACCGGCAGGGGAGCCAUGCACUCCAUAGGCUUGGGAUCACCCCCGGGAAAGCGAUCUUCCCCGGGCUACCACCCCCAGCUGCAGUUCUGUGUUAGUGCAUCCUUCAAAGCUAGGAGAAUUCUAGGGUGACCAGUGAGCUAAUGUUGAGUGAGCAGGUAUUGACUUGAACACACUGCAGGCCUUUGGCUGUCUCAUGCUGUCCUUACUCUUCUUGGGAACAGUGAGUCACUCAGCUGGCCAGGGUGGGGAUGCAUCCUGGUGAAGAGACAGCUUUCCCUGAAGAUGCUACAGAAAGUUACUGUCAGAUUUCAUUUGUUUCUGUUUCCUGAGAUCAACUAACAGAAGAAUCUAAUGGUGAGAGUGUCUUCAUUCAUGUUUUACGUUUUAUCAAGGCACACUGGAAAGGGAAUUAUGUGGCUGACUUCCCUUGGCCUUCCCAAGAGAAGAUUCUGUUCUUAUGUCAGUGUGGCUUCUGGAAGUGUCUCCUAUCCUCCCAUCCUCCAGGCCUGUGGUGUGACUUCUGCCCCGAAGUUCCUACUAUAGUGAGUCAUCUGGGGAGAGGCCACUGAAAAGAGGCCUUCCCUUCCCAUUUCCUCCCCUGCCUCCUUAGAACACACUCUAAGUCAGAACUUAAUCUAAGAAGAAGGAAGCUGGACCAGGAACCUUGGAAGUCAGCCAGCCCUAGAACAGUCAGCCUAAAUUUUGGCCGUAAUGGCUUUUUUGGUUUUUUGUUUUGUUUCUGAGAUGGAGUCUCACUCCGUUGCCAGGCUGGAGUGCUGUGGCGCUAUCUCAGCUUACCGAAUCCUCCGACUCCCUGGUUCAAGCGAUUGUCCUGCCUCAGCCUCCGGAGUAGCUGGGAUUACAGGCAUGCACCACCACACCCAGCUAAUUUUUGUAUUUUUAGUAGAGACGGGGUUUCACCGUGUUGUCCAGGAUGGUCUCCAUCUCCUGACCUCAUGAUGUGCCCACUUCGGCCUUCCAAAGUGGCCGCAAAGUGGCCCACUUCGGCCAAAGUGCACUUCGGCCUUCCAAAGUGCAUUACAGGCGUGAGCCACCACGCCCGGCCUGGCCUUUUUUUUUUUUUUCUUUUGAGACACAGUUUCACUCGUUGCCCAGGCUGGAGUGCAGUGGCGCAAUCUCGGCUCACUGCAACUUCUGCCUCCUAGGUUCAAGCAGUUCUCCUGCCUCAGCCUCCCAAGUAGUUGGGAUUACGGGCAUGCACCACCAUGCCUGGAUAAUUUUUUCUUAUUUUUAGUAGAGACAGGAUUUCAUCAUGUUGGCCACGCUGGUUUCGAACUCCUGACCACAUGUGGUCCACCCACCUUGGCCUCAAUUAUGUGCAUUUUGGUAUAUUUACUUGUAUUUCAACAUCUUGUGAGUUUGAAAAACCUGAAAGGCCAGAAUGCUUCCUUUUAUUUCUCACCAUUUGGGCAGCACCUAAGUGGUUUUGUAAAAUGCAGCAUCUGGUGCUGUGGGUCUCUCUCAGGCCUUGAGGGACACUUCCUUCCUCCCCACUCGCCUCCUCUCCACUAGACUUUGGUUCCUAGAGGGCGUGGGGCCGGGUCUGAGGUUCUUGCCUGCCUUCCCUCCCAUUGGUCUUUGGUUGCUCAUCCCUCUAACUGCACCCCUUCUUGGUCCUUCCUCCACAGACUUCAGAUAAUAGAUAAGUCAUUAGCAAACCAGACCGAAUCUUUAGGGUGAAGAGCUCCCCAAAGCCAUCUGGUGAGGUCAUUGUGGGGACCAGGGACUGAUUAUUUGUCACCUGGAUCACAAAGAUGGGACUGUCUGCUCAGGCUGGUGGUGACAGGAUCCUGACCCGUGGUCCUCUCCCGCUCCCUCUGCUCCACCAGGACACAUGUAUAGGACACUGUGCUGUGUGCAGUGGAGAAAUCUCCCUGGGCCAGGGGAAAGUUCAGACAGUGCCUCUAGAUUGUGUUUUGCCUCCUCCAAUGUAGAGUUGACAUCUGGACCCCAGAGCCCAGCAGGGCUUUCUGUCAGACAUGCUAGGGUGGUAGAAAUGGGCCCUCCAGGUCCCCCUGCAGUGCACUGGGCAGAGACCUCCGGAAAGCCGGCAGCGGGAGCGCUUCCUGGGCAGCUUCCCCCAGCACAGUGUUCCCAAACCAGUCCAUCCGGAAAACAGUCUGUACAGCAAAUGCUGUGUGAGAUCUUAGGCUUUUCACUUUUUUUGUUUUGUUUUGUUUUUGAAAGAAAGAAAAAAAUACAAUUAACAAGCCUCUUUUGUAAAUGGGUUUCCUUUCUAUGUAUAAAAUCGUGGUGGUCCCUUGUUUUUACAUGUUCAUGCUGUGUAAUUUUGAGAUGUUACUGAGAUAUGUUCUGAACAUAAUGUGCAUUUUUUUCUGUACAGAUGAAAUGGGAGAAUUUAAUAAAGAGUUUGCAGGUUUUUACUUGUUAAA